GGAGUUGGGUUUCAGAAUCAGUUAGAAAUCAUCAGAAGUAUCUUAAUGGUAAGAGACUUCAGAUUUGAGUUUGGGCUGCAUUUCGCCACUUUUGUAUAGUUUUCUUCCUAUCUGGAUUAGAUACACUUUUUUCUCGAAAAAGCUUUUGACCGGAGUCAACUUUUCCUUUCCAGUAGAAUUUAGCAUUAAGUCUUUCAAGGUGCCACAGCUUUGUAUUAAGGUUCCUGAAAUGGAAGCAAUUGGUUCGCUGAAGGAUUCUAGUAUUUGCUGUAGGGAUUCGAUGUAUACACUGUUUAUGUUGACAUUGGACCAACUAAAAAGAUGAUCGUAUGUGCAAAUGUUAAGAGCAAGUAGAGAACAGUAAAUAAAGCUGUUACAGCUAUCCUUGGAAGUGGCAUACAAGGGUGUACCCUAGUGGUCAAUGAAGUGGAUAACCAUGAGAUCUCAGGUUCAAAUCAUAAUAAAGACAAAUACACUAGGUUGCUUCCCAUUUGUCUAAGCUUUGGUGGACAGAGUUACCUUAUACUUGUGUUGGUGGGAGGCGCAGAUCUCCUAUUGAAUUAGUCGAGGUGCGCGCAAGCUGGCUUGGAUACCACCCUUAUCAAAAUUAAACAACUAUCACGGGAAGUGGAUUACGGUUGACCAGGGAAAGGUCAGAGAUGACAAUAGAACUCUACAGCAGGCCGGUAUUUCCCAGAAUGGCAAUCUUCACUUUGUAGCCUUGUUUUCACCAAAGGUCCUCCAUCAGUCCCUAAAGAUGAUACUCCUGCUUAAGCAUCAUACAUUACAGAUCAAGAAUUAUCUAGGUAUUGUUGGGAAGAUGAGCCACAUGUGGGAAUAUACUGCGUACGUUGUUGUUGUUGUUAUUGUUGCUGUUGUUGUUGGGAAGAUGAGUACUUGUAUGCUUUUGAAUAGUGAUGCUUUGCAUAGUUAUCAAAAAGAAUAGAGGAAGAAAUGUUACAACAAUAGGUUUUGGCUACUAUAUGGGUAGCUGAUGGUGUCUAAUUAGUCAUUUUUAUAUUCAGGCAUCCACCUAGUCCUAUCUUAGAAUUGGGGCCUCCCAAUGCUUUGUCAGAUCCUCCAGCGACUAAGUGGGACAAGCAUGAUGAGAAUAACCAUAAACUGGAGAUUUCACCUCUUACGAAUCCGAUUGAUCAAUCAGCUGAUGAUACUGUUCCAGAUUCUAAAGCAUUGGCCAUAGUUCUGCCUGUAAAUGCAGAGACACUUGCCGUGGU